AUUGAACGCUGGCGGCAUGCCUUACACAUGCAAGUCGAACGGCAGCAUGAUCUAGCUUGCUAGAUUGAUGGCGAGUGGCGAACGGGUGAGUAAUACAUCGGAACGUGCCCUGUAGUGGGGGAUAACUAGUCGAAAGAUUAGCUAAUACCGCAUACGACCUGAGGGUGAAAGUGGGGGACCGCAAGGCCUCGUGCUAUAGGAGCGGCCGAUGUCUGAUUAGCUAGUUGGUGAGGUAAAGGCUCACCAAGGCGACGAUCAGUAGCUGGUCUGAGAGGACGAUCAGCCACACUGGGACUGAGACACGGCCCAGACUCCUACGGGAGGCAGCAGUGGGGAAUUUUGGACAAUGGGCGAAAGCCUGAUCCAGCAAUGCCGCGUGUGUGAAGAAGGCCCUCGGGUUGUAAAGCACUUUUGUCCGGAAAGAAAUGGCUCUGGUUAAUACCUGGGGUCGAUGACGGUACCGGAAGAAUAAGGACCGGCUAACUACGUG
rnacentral:rRNA from 1 species